UUAUUUGAGAGUUUGAUCCUGGCUCAGGAUGAACGCUGGCGGCGUGCCUAACACAUGCAAGUUGAGCGAUUUACUUCGGUAAAGAGCGGCGGACGGGUGAGUAACGCGUGGGUAACCUACCCUGUACACACGGAUAACAUACCGAAAGGUAUGCUAAUACGGGAUAAUAUAUUUGAGAGGCAUCUCUUAAAUAUCAAAGGUGAGCCAGUACAGGAUGGACCCGCGUCUGAUUAGCUAGUUGGUAAGGUAACGGCUUACCAAGGCGACGAUCAGUAGCCGACCUGAGAGGGUGAUCGGCCACAUUGGAACUGAGACACGGUCCAAACUCCUACGGGAGGCAGCAGUGGGGAAUAUUGCACAAUGGGGGAAAGCCUGAUGCAGCAACGCCGCGUGAGUGAUGAAGGCCUUCGGGUCGUAAAACUCUGUCCUCAAGGAAGAUAAUGACGGUACUUGAGGAGGAAGCCCCGGCUAACUACGUGCCAGCAGCCGCGGUAAUACGUAGGGGGCUAGCGUUAUCCGGAUU
rnacentral:rRNA from 1 species